rnacentral:rRNA from 1 species
UACGAGGGGAGCAAGUGUUGUUCGGAAUCACUGGGCGUAAGGGGAGCGUAGGCGGGCUUCUAAGUUAGGUGUUUAAUCCCAGGGCCCAACCCUGGUCAGGCACCUAAAACUGGGAGUCUUGAAUAGUGGAGAGGACGAUGGAAUUGGGGGUGUAGCGGUGGAAUGCGUAGAGAUCCCCAAGAACACCAGUUGCGAAGGCGGUCGUCUGGACACAUAUUGACGCUGAGGCUCGAAAGCAUGGGGAGCAAACAGG